rnacentral:rRNA from 1 species
AAAUCAAGCGUUUAAGGGCGUGUGGCGGAUGCCUUGGCACUGAAAGCCGAAGAAGGACGUGGUAUACUGCGAUAAGUUGCGGGGAGCUGUAUGCAAGCUUUGAUCCGUAAAUUUCCGAAUGGGGAAACCCACCACUUUAUGUGGUACUUUAAACUGAAUACAUAGGUUUAAAGAGACAACCCGGAGAACUGAAACAUCUAA